rnacentral:rRNA from 1 species
ACGACGCUGGCGGCGUGCCUAAUACAUGCAAGUCGAACGGUCUUUCUAUGGAAGCUUGCUUCCACUGAGAAGAUAGUGGCGAACGGGUGAGUAACACGUGGGUAACCUGCCCAUAAGAGGGGGAUAACAUCCGGAAACGGGUGCUAAUACCGCAUAGUUUUCUUGAUCGCAUGAUUGAGAAAGGAAAGACGGCCUUUGUGCUGUCGCUUAUGGAUGGACCCGCGGCGUAUUAGUUAGUUGGUGAGGUAAUGGCUCACCAAGACGAUGAUACGUAGCCGACCUGAGAGGGUGAUCGGCCACAUUGGGACUGAGACACGGCCCAAACUCCUACGGGAGGCAGCAGUAGGGAAUCUUCCGCAAUGGACGAAAGUCUGACGGAGCAACGCCGCGUGAGUGAAGAAAAGGUUUUCGGAUCGUAAAACUCUGUUGUCAGAGAAGAACAAGUUGGAGAGUAACUGCUCCAGCCUUGACGGUAUCUGACCAGAAAGCCACGGCUAACUACGUGCCAGCCGCUGC